CCCAGACUCCUACGGGAGGCAGCAGUGGGGAAUAUUGCACAAUGGGGGAAACCCUGAUGCAGCGACGCCGCGUGAGCGAAGAAGUAUUUCGGUAUGUAAAGCUCUCUCAGCAGGGAAGAAAAAAAUGACGGUACCUGAGUAAGAAGCACCGGCUAAAUACGUGCCAGCAGCCGCGGUAAUACGUAUGGUGCAAGCGUUAUCCGGAUUUACUGGGUGUAAAGGGAGCGUAGGCGGCGCGUUAAGUCUGAUGUGAAAACCCGAGGCUCAACCACGGGAGUGCAUUGGAAACUGGCGGGCUGGAGUGCCGGAGAGGUAAGCGGAAUUCCUAGUGUAGCGGUGAAAUGCGUAGAUAUUAGGAGGAACACCAGUGGCGAAGGCGGCUUACUGGACGGCAACUGACGCUGAGGCUCGAAAGCGUGGGGAGCAAACAGGAUUAGAUACCCGCGUA
rnacentral:rRNA from 1 species